UGAAGAUCCGGCGCAGCUAAAGUCAGUGGAAGGUAGAAAGACGCCACAGCCGCCUUUCGACAACUUUUUGUUACAAAAGUGGAGAUCUACACGGAGGCGACGGCCUAGGUCGCUCUGACAGGACCCAACGACCCUCCUGACGCGUCCACCCGUCCUCGCUAGCAGGGUCCCCCAGCGGGCUCUCGACCUGCGCCACCAGAGUUCCACUCUUUUUGUCGACAAUAAUAUGGCGCCCAAACACGUGGGGCCUCAGAGAAGACUCUGGAUCCGGAAGGAGUAUCCCAAAACCAGAGCUAAGGUACCAGCUGGAGCCCACUGAAGCCUCACCGAGUUUGGGCUUCUCCUCCUGUGGAACUGGAAACCAAAAUCAUGGUAUUUUGAAAACCAGAGGUAUGAAUCUCCCUCGUUUGGCAUCCCACUGGGCCUGGACCUGUUUCACUGCUAAUGUUCUGCUGCCAAAACUAUACAAGCUGCCUGGACUAUUGCAGAAGAGCUGAAGAAGUCCACAACCUGGAAACACCAAGACAACCAGACAAAAAAAGCCCUGAAACAAAAGUUUGCUGUUUCUAGCCAAAGAAUCAAGAAAGGAGCAGCCUAGCAUGAAACAAACUUGUAAGCAAUGGAAAAGAAAAUUACCAAAAACAGAGAAGGAUAUUACAUGAUAAUAAAAGUGUCAAUCCAACAAAGAGAGAACAUUCCUAAACGUGCAUGCGCCAAACAAUGAUGCUGCAAAAAAAUGAGAAUCAAAAACUGACAGAAGUGAAAGAAGAAGUCAACAAAUCAGCACUUAUAGUUUGAUACUUCAACAACCUUCUCACAACAAUGGAUAGAAAAGCUAGAUAAAAAAUCAACAAGCAUACAGAAUUCAACAGUGCUAUUAACCAACAAGAAACAAGAUCUGAAAACUUUUUUAGAGUACUACACCCCAGAACAGGAGAAUACAUAUCAUUUCAGGUACUAACAGACCAUAUACCAAGAUAGAGUACAACUUGGGUCAUAAAGCUAAUUAACCUCAACAAAUGUAAAAUAAUUAAAAACAUACAAAGUGUGUUCUUUGAUCACAAUAAAAUCAAACUAGAAACUUUUAACAGAAAGUGACUUUAACCAUUCUGC
rnacentral:lncRNA from 10 species